rnacentral:rRNA from 1 species
AUUGAACGCUGGCGGCAUGCCUUACACAUGCAAGUCGAACGGCAGCACGGGAGCAAUCCUGGUGGCGAGUGGCGAACGGGUGAGUAAUGUAUCGGAACGUACCUUUCAGUGGGGGAUAACGUAGCGAAAGUUACGCUAAUACCGCAUAUUCUGUGAGCAGGAAAGCAGGGGAUCGCAAGACCUUGCGCUGAUUGAGCGGCCGAUAUCAGAUUAGCUAGUUGGUGAGGUAAAGGCUCACCAAGGCGACGAUCUGUAGCGGGUCUGAGAGGAUGAUCCGCCACACUGGAACUGAGACACGGUCCAGACUCCUACGGGAGGCAGCAGUGAGGAAUUUUGGACAAUGGGCGCAAGCCUGAUCCAGCCAUGCCGCGUGAGUGAAGAAGGCCUC